AUUUUUUAGCAAAGUCCCUUCAAGAGCCUUGUGUGAGACGCAAGAUCGCUGGCCUGGAUUAACUUGGAUUUACUC